rnacentral:sRNA from 1 species
GCCAGGCACAGUGACACGUGCCUGUAAUCCCAGCAACUUUGGAGGCUGGGGCAGCAGGAUCAUGAGUUCAAAGCCAGUCUCAGCAAAAUCGAGGUGCUAAGCAAUUCAGUGAGACCCUGUCUCUGAAUUAAAUAUAAAAUAGGGCUGGGGAUGUGGCUCAGUGGGCCACUGCCCCUG